AUAACAGAAUGUUAUUACGUUGUCUAUAUAUACCCUGUAGAACCGAAUUUGUGUGGUAUUUACAUAGUCACAGAUUCGAUUCUAGGGGAAUAUAUGGUCGAUGCAAAAACUUCACAUUUCUGCAAAUGGUUAAAAUUAUAAAUGUCUGGG